AUAUUCGUGCCUCUGUCUCAUACAUGCCUCUCUGUGUAUACACAACCACAAAACCUCUCUCUCACACAGAUCAAUCACCAACAAACCUCACGACUGCGCAUCCUCAGCACCGUCGGUCCCCGUACGCCGCAAAUCAACACCACCACCGCCGCUAACAGGCAAGUAUUUAUCGGGAGGAGAACAACGUUAUAGACUUGUAUAUCAUACUUCUUAGAUUUUCAAGGAAACGUUGUCUAGGCACUCUUUUUUGGGCCCAAAU